UACGUAGGGGGCGAGCGUUGUCCGGAUUCAUUGGGCGUAAAGCGCGCGUAGGCGGCCCCGCAAGUCGGCCGUGAAAUCUCCGGGCUCAACUCGGAGGGGUCGGGCGAGACUGCGAGGCUCGAGGUGGGCAGAGGGCAGUGGAAUUCCGGGUGUAGUGGUGGAAUGCGUAGAGAUCCGGAGGAACACCAGUGGCGAAGGCGGCUGCCUGGGCCUGGCCUGACGCUGAGGCGGCGAAAGCGUGGGGAGCAA
rnacentral:rRNA from 1 species